CUCUGUGCGUGUGAGUGAGUUGUGUUGUGUGUGCUGCUUCUUGCUUGUGAUUGCAGCUGCAAACCAUGCAUCUGCAGUCUGCAAUAAAAUUGGUAUAAAAUCGAAAAAUGAUUUAAUUUAUGAAUUAAGAUAAUUUAUGAACAGUAAUUUCAGUGUUAACAUGAAAUGUUAUGUGCCCAUGACGAAAAAAGUACUCCAAAAUGUAAAUAAAUCGAACGUGAACUUUUGUUUGAGUCUAUCGAACUGCGAACGUUUUUUUCUAUUUUGACCGUUGAUUCCUAUGAUCAAAAACGAUUUUUGGUGCUGUAUUUAUACCAUCAGUUGUUUGUAAAUACAUUUAUUUUCUGAGGUGCCGAAGGAUUUUAGAAGAGUUGUAAAGACAAGUGGUUUGUAAUGUUGUUCCGGGAGAGUGCGUGAUCUAGCAAGUAAGAACAAUGUCGGGAGCUACGACGCCGACGGGCACGGAAGCGCCGGCGCUGGACGACCGCGACGUCGAGCCGCGCACGCCCAUGAAGCGGCUCGGCUCUACACGGAAGCUGGCCGCCUUCAACAACAUCCGGCUGCAGCUGGCGGAGCAGACGCGCGUGCUGGAGGCGCGCGCCGAGGCCACGGCGGGCGUGGCGGGCGAGCUGCACGACUACUGCCGCCGCCGCGCCGACCUCGAGCACGAGUACGCGCGCGCGCUCGACAAGCUGGCGCGCGCCGCCACCCAGCGCCACAAGGACCAGAAGCACAAGCGCGAGCAGUGGGCGCUGACGGGCGCGUACGCGUGCUGGCAGGCGGCGCUGGACAGCACGCGCGCGCUGUCGCGCGACCACGCGGCGCUGGGCGAGCUGUACGGCGGGCCGCUGGCCGCGCGCCUGCAGCGCUGCGCCGAGGACGCGCUGCGCCUGCACCGCAAGUGCCGCGACAUCGUGGCGGAGCGGCACGAGGAGGUGGGCGCGGCGCUGGCCGAGGCGGCGGCGGCCGGCAAGGCGCACGCGGCCGCCGCCGCCGACUGGCGCGCCGCCGCGCUCAAGCUGCGCCACGCCUACGACCAGCGCCAGCGCGUGGCCGCCGCCGACCCGCCGCGAAACAAGAAGCUCAAGGCGCUCGACAAGGAGCUCGAGAAGAGGCGGUCGCGGCACAGCGAGGCGCGCGUGCGGGCGCUGCGGGCGCGCGCCGACUACGUGCUGAGCCUGGAGGCCGCCAACGCCACGCUGCAGCGCUACUACCUGGACGACAUCGCCGACAUCAUCCUGUGCAUGGAGGUGGGCUUCGAGGCGGGCGUGGGGCGCUGCGUGCGCACGGCGGGCGCCGCCGAGAGCGCCCGCGCCGCCGCCGCCGAGGCCGCCGCCGGCGCGCUGCGGGCCGCGGCCGACGCGCUGGACGCGCUGGGCGACCGCCAGCGCCUGCUGGACGCGCACGCCGCCGCCUUCGCGCUGCCGCGCCCGCUGCCCUACCAGGGCGCCGCGCCCGCCGUGCAGGACGCCGAGCUGCGCGACCUGCUGGCCGACGCCGCCACCGACGACGCGGCGCCCGACGCGCUGGCGCAGGAGCUGCAGGCGCGGCUGGCGCAGCUCGACGCCAGCGCGCGGCAGCUGCGCGCCGAGUGCCAGGAGAACGCCAAGACGCUCGACGCCGCCGAGGCCGAGCUCGUCAAGCAGAUGGAGGGCAGCGACGCGCAGUGGGACGUGAGCGGGCUGUUCGGCGCGGGCGGCGGCGUCGUGCCGCCCGGCGCGUCCGCGCCGCCCGACGAGCAGGAGGACUACUACCUGGGCAAGUUCCGCGCCUACGCCGCCAGCGCCGGGCGGCUGGCGCGGCUGGACAGCAAGGCGCUGGCGGCGCGGCGGCUGGCGGCGCCGGGCGCGGCGCCGGCGGCCCCGGCGUCGCCGCCGCGGCGCGGGGCGCGGCUGCGGCGCGGGCAGUUCGCGGCGCCGCUGGAGCUGCGGCUGCCGGUGGUGCUGACGUCGUGCGUGCGGGUGAUCGCGCGGUUCGGGCUGCGGCACCAGGGCGUGUUCCGCGUGUCGGGCUCGCAGCUGGAGAUGCAGGCGCUGCGGGCCGCCUUCGAGCGCGGCGAGGACCCGCUGGCCGACGUGCGCGACGCCAGCGACAUCAACACCGUCUGCGGCCUGCUCAAGCUCUACCUGCGUGAGGUGCGGCCGCCGCUGCUGCCGCCGCAGCUGCAGGAGCGGCUGCUGCGCGUGGCGGCGCUGCCGGACGACGCGGCCUUCGUGCGGCGCAUGCGCGACACGCUGGCCGCGCUGCCGCCGCCCGCGCUCAUCGUGCUGCGCUACCUCUUCGCCUUCCUCGCGCACCUGGCGGAGCACAGCGCGGAGAACAUGAUGGACGCGUGGAACCUCGCCAUCUGCCUCGGGCCCACGCUGCUGGCGGCGUGGGGCGAGGGCGGCGCGCAGGUGGCGGCGCAGAACCUCGUCAACGAGCUCGUCAAGCGCUGCAUCCUGCACCACGCGCAGCUCUUCCCGCAGGACCUCGCGCCCGACGCGCUCUACGUGCGCGAGUGCGACGCGGCUGCCGCCGACACACCCGCGCCCGACCCGGCCUCCGCCACACCCGCGCCCGACGAGCACGACGCGCCCGACGACCUGUCGCUCUACGACAUCGACGACGACACCGACGACGUCAGCGACUCGGACGGCGACAGCGGCGACUGGGCGCCGCGCGAGCCCGACCUGCCGACGACGAGGUGACACAACCGGCCGCCGAGCCCGCCGAGCCCGCCGCGACCGCGUCCGAGCCCUGCAGGCGCCUGGCCGAGAGCACGCCCGACCUGGUGCUGGACCUGCCCGCCCGCGCCGCGCCCGCCGACUCCGCCGACACCUUCCUGCACAACCGCGACACGCUGCGCAAGCGGCCCCGCGCCGGCCCCGCGCCCGCGCCCGC
rnacentral:misc_RNA from 1 species